GGAAUAGAGGGAGCGUCGUUAAUGGCGUAAAUCUCUAAUGGAGAAGUAGAGGAACAACGAUGAGGCGAGAAAUCGUUUCAGUUGCCAUUUUUCCCAUUGGCGAUUCGAUUGUUGCUCGUCCACAC